ensembl:miRNA eca-mir-8979 eca-mir-8979
AUCCCAGGAGUGUCCCGACCGUCACCACUCCUGGGGUGCCUGCUGGCUGUGGAACAGAGUCCUGUGCUCUGGGCCUUGGCUGCUGUGGACAUUGGGCCAGGGUCAGGAUCAGGGUGGGGGUGGGGCAGUAUUGAUACCUCUGAGA